GUUGAUGUAUUUUUUUAUUGGAUUAUUGGAUUUUGAUCCGCAUUCCCGGCGGUUGAAGUUGCAGCUAGAGUUCUAAGAGUUGCAGUCAUUAUUUCUGCUUUACUUUAUUCUGCCUCUUCUUGCAAGCCUCUUGCUGUUCCUGAGUCCGUGUAAUACAUUAAGCGUGUGUAAGAAAGGCCUAAUCCUUUUUUUUCCGAAAGGGUUAGAACCGGCGGAAGUUCCCCACGCCAAUCCCAUUUUUUUUAGCAAGUUC
rnacentral:lncRNA from 1 species